rnacentral:rRNA from 1 species
GACGAACGCUGGCGGCGUGCCUAAUACAUGCAAGUCGAACGCAGUGGGGACGGGUGAGUAACACGUGGGUAACCUCGCAUCAGAGGGGAUAACACUUGGAAACAGGUGCUAAACCGAUACUGAUGGAUGGACCCGGGGUGCAUUAGCUAGUUGGUGAGGUCACGGCUCACCAAGGCCACGAUGAAUAGCCGGCCUGAGAGGUGGACCGGCCACCCGGGGACUGAGACACGGCCCAGACUCCUACGGGAGGCAGCAGGAGGGAAUCUUCGGCAAUGGACGAAAGUCUGAUCGAGCUACGCCGCGUGAGUGAAGAAGGUCUUCGGAUCGUAAAACUCUGUUAUUAGAGAGGCGGUAUCUAACCAGAAAGCAACGGCUAACUACGUGCCAGCAGCCGCGGUAAUUC